ensembl:lncRNA
UUUUAAUUAAACAUAAAAAAUAAAUAAAAAUCACAGGAGCGAUAUUAUUAAAAUGUAACGACAUGGGUCGAUUGUGCUGGUCGGUAGGCACAUUUUGAUACGGGUGAAAUAUUGCUGCGCGCUCGUUUGAAUUUCUAUUUAUUUUUUGUGUGUGUGACGGCUGUGUGGGGAGACGAGGAGCCGAGCCUGUUGGCGCCACUUUCAAAUCCUCCACUGACACAGAAUGAGAGUCCGGCUCAAAUACAUUUUCCCACCAGCUUACUUCUCCUUUUAAUCAUUAAUAUAGGGUGAGGAAUAUCUUAACACAAUUUCACGUUUGGACCGUUUUUUCCCUGAAAGCAUCCAAAGUGAGGGGAGAAAGAUGGGCCUGGAGGUAACUGGUGUUCUUAGUGCCUCCAUCAGUUGCAAAUGAUCUCAGCAGCAGACGGUAAGUGAAUCUUUAUUUUCUUUUCUUCCUGGACCCUUUAAAAUGGCCUCUGUUGCUGUUAAUAGAACGAGAGCCUCUCUCAGCUCUGCGUUGCCUCUUUCUUCUUCUUUUCUCUCCACUACAGUAAAGUUGUGCUCUUUUUGCCUUCUCUCCCUCACCCCUCCUUUGUCUCUCUCUCUCUCUCUGUGUUUUUUCCUUGAUGAGGCUGGCGGUUUGGGGCUGAAUGUAACGCGUGUCUGUUUGCUGCUCUCCUUGCUGACAUGACCUCUUGUUCUUGAAUCCAAUCAGCUUCCAUCACAUCGACUGUGUGGCUGCGUGAAGCUGCAUUCACAGCUUUAACCACUUCAUGCCAUCUAGACUUGUCUCAAAUGUUUAUAUUCUUGAUCAGAAUUUUUUGGAAGUGUACCUGAUUUUGUGUUAUUUACUUUGUGGCUGACAGUCAGGUGUGGUGAUCACGGGCCAUGAAUCCUUCCUCUCCUGGCCUCAAAUGUUGUUUCAGCUUUGCAGUAGACAAAGGCAGCAGGUUUGGAGUCACAUUAUACAUCUAAUUUACACUGUAUCUAUUGCAUGUCAUUGUGGAAAAAACUGUUAAUUCAUUGACCAUUCUAAUUAGAUAAUUGAUACAUGUUUGGGCAACAACAAUUUGGUUUAAGUCUCUUAAAUAUGAGCAUUGAACUGUCUUAUAUCAUUCAAAAUUAAACAUGUUUGGAUUUUUGCCCACUGGUUCGACCAAACACGCAUUUAAAAACAUUGCUUUAGGAAUUCUGCAUUAUUUUGUUGAUAUCUUGAGAAUAAUUGAGUUAAUCAAGACAUGUGCAGAUGAAUUUCUAAUAUAACCAAAGGUUAGUUGCAGCCCAACUAAUGCUAUUUAUAGUCAAGUUUGAUGUUGAAAUGAGCUAUUCAUGUCAAACGAUAGAAAAUAUCACUAUUUUUAUUGAUGUCAUUUGUCAAGUAAAAAUGUUACAUUUGGCUAUGUCUGACAAAAAGUCAUUAUAUAAAUAAACAAACAUUGUUAUUUUUGUCUGUCCCUUAAACCAGAUAUGGUAGACUAGAUUUAUGUUUUUUUUUUAUAUAUUCCCUUUUAAAUUAUCCGACUUCAUUUGUCAAGUACUCUAAAGCAGACUCUGGAAUUUGAUCUAUUAACCAUUUCUCAAUUGAUUUCCCAGAAAUUGUAUGAUAUUACGAUAUACCUAUGAAAUGUAAAUAAAUUAAAAGAAUAUGAAAGACUAUUUUACCUGUACAGUAAAAAAACAACAGCUUUAUUUCACACAGCCGGGCUCCAUUCUGCUGUGAAGCUCUUUAUUGGCCCCCAGACGGCUCCGCUCUAUGAGAGAAGCUCUUGGACUGUGUGGUGGAGCUGCUGCAUUCUGCACUCGUGGCUCAGCUCUGCUUUUCCCUUAAUGUGCCUUUAAAAUGACUGCUUGUGGAGCCCCUUUGCUUCAAAAUCAAAUUUAUAUAUAGGCCUUUUAUAUUUUUGGAUACUUUUAUUCAUUCAUUUACAUUUAUCACAUAAUAAUGUGAUGUUUUUUUUUUUUCUUUAUUUCAUGUUAAUAGAAUCUAUUUUAUCCAAUGAAACCAUACCUUAAAAGACGUCACUCUGGUGGCCACUUU